rnacentral:tRNA from 1 species
GUGCGCAUCGCUUAGUGGUUAGGGUAUUCGGCUGACGAUCGUAAGAAACUGAGUUCGAUUCCUCACUGCGUAUU